rnacentral:rRNA from 1 species
GUGGGGAAUCUUAGACAAUGGGCGCAAGCCUGAUCUAGCCAUGCCGCGUGAGCGAUGAAGGCCUUAGGGUUGUAAAGCUCUUUCGUGGGGGAAGAUAAUGACUGUACCCCAAGAAGAAGCCCCGGCUAACUCCGUGCCAGCAGCCGCGGUAAUACGGAGGGGGCUAGCGUUGUUCGGAAUUACUGGGCGUAAAGCGCACGUAGGCGGACUGGAAAGUCAGGGGUGAAAUCCCGGGGCUCAACCCCGGAACUGCCUUUGAAACUCCUGUUCUUGAGUUCGAGAGAGGUGAGUGGAAUUCCGAGUGUAGAGGUGAAAUUCGUAGAUAUUCGGAGGAACACCAGUGGCGAAGGCGGCUCACUGGCUCGAUACUGACGCUGAGGUGCGAAAGCGUGGGGAGCAAACAGGAUUAGAAACCCCGGUAGUCC